rnacentral:tRNA from 1 species
AUGUGGGCUCAGUGGUAGAGCACUAGCCUAGCAUGUGUGAGGCACUGGGUUCUAUUCUCAGCACCACAUA